AAUUAUUCAAAUAUUUUAAAUUACAAAGCAAAUCAAAUAAUAGAUUAAAUCUUGAAAAGGAAAAGAUUGAUUAUUGUAACUCAACAUUAAACUCAAUGUUAAGUCCCUAUAGAUUCUUCCAGAGCAUAAGAAGCCGCAAACAACAUCUGAAAGGUUAUAAUUACAUUAAGAGUCAUCACUGGUUAGGACAAAACAUGGAUCAAUGAUUCAAUCGUGAUGGGUUUUGUUUGGCAUGGACACGCACGUGAAUCCUAUCCCCUUACCUGCCCAAGUAUAACACUACAGUGUGUUAGUAACCUGUGCUAAGGAGGGUUGUGGUCAAAGAGGUCUAACUUGGUCUUGGGUCUCCUGCACUCUCUCAGCACACAACAGAAUCAUAGGCAUGGGCCUAGACAUGUCUCCCCAGUCCCUCUAUCAAUAAUUGAUUCCCCCCCCUUCUCUCCCUCUCUUUCUAUCUCUCUCAAUGCAUUGUAGAGCACUUGCAUAUAUAUAUAUAUAUAUAUAUAUUCACAUUCAGGUAUUCUAUCUCAUUUCAUCAAGAGAACAUAAAACAUGGUUAUAAUGAAGGUACCUUUGUGUUUGGUUUGCCUGUGUAUCCUCACAAUUGCUUUCUAUUCCUUUUCCAGAAACAUCAUCAGCAAUUUUGCUUCUUCUUCUUCUUCUUCCUCGAUGCUUCUUACCGGAAGGAGAGCCAUGAGGGAAACGAGGCCGUCAUCACCCAAUUACAGUGUUGGAUACUCUGGUUUCAAGGUGGGUUUGAUAUUUUCCGAACUCUUCAAUGUUUUAGUAAUUUCUUAUUUUCUAAAAAGGGAAUGCAGAUAAGUUAGCCUGUACAUGUCAGAAUAGCCAUACAAAUCAACCUGUAUACAGUGUCAGGUCUAAUUCAGUUAACUAGGAGUAAUGUUGUGCACCAGAACAGAUUUCUCAGUAAAUAUUUGAUAAAGAAACCCGCCUCAGUUUUAGAGGAGACUAUUACAUACCUUCUGCGAAUUUCUUGCAUCUUGCACCCAUCAAAUUAUGCUUCCGAUAAAAUUUUCCAUGUAGACAUUGUUCCAGGCCUCAUAAUCAGGUUGCAUGAAAUGCAGGUUGCUGAUGAAGAAACAAGGGAAUUGAAAUUAGAAGAUUUAGUGUCACUCAAAUAUACAACCAGAAUAGAUGACUCGGAUCAGCUGGUUUACCACAUCGAUUACCAUGGAGUGACAACUCACCCAACACCAACACCAAAACAUCCCAG
rnacentral:lncRNA from 1 species